rnacentral:misc_RNA from 1 species
GGAAGGAUCAUUAUCGAGUUAGGGUUGCCUCCCACGGCACCCGACCUCCCAACCCUGUGUCUACUGUACCAUCUGUUGCUUCGGCGGGCCGGACCCCAUUUCACCAGGGGACCGCCGGGUCUCUGUGCCUGGAGAGAGCCCGCCGAUGGCCCAACCUCCAAACUCUUCGUACCCAAGCAUGUCGUCUAAAGCGAUACUUUUUUUGAUUCAAUCAAAAACUAAAACUUUCAACAACGGAUCUCUUGGUUCUGGCAUCGAUGAAGAACGCAGCGAAAUGCGAUAAGUAAUGCGAAUUGCAGAAUUUCCGUGAGUCAUCGAAUCUUUGAACGCACAUUGCGCCCUUUGGCAUUCCGAAGGGCAUGCCUGUUCGAGCGUCAUUAUCCCCCCUCAAACCUCGGGGUUUGGUGUUGGGCCCGCGUUGGUUGGCGACGACCAACUGGCCCCAAAGGCAAUGACGGCUCCCACUGGGACCCUUGGUGCAAUGAGCUUCUUUCGAGAGCACGCAUCGAGUGUUCGGACCCGGUGGGCCGGUCUCCCUUAUUACUUUCUAAGGUUGACCUCGGAUCAGGUAGGAAUACCCGCUGAACUUAAGCAUAUCAAUAAGCGGAGGAAAAGAAACCAACAGGGAUUGCCUCAGUAACGGCGAGUGAAGCGGCAACAGCUCAAAUUUGAAAUCUGGCCUUAUGGUCCGAGUUGUAAUUUGUAGAGGAUGUUUUGGGUACCGCCCCGGUUUAAAUUUCUUGGAACAGAAUGUCAAAGAGGGUGAGAAUCCCGUCUUGGACCGGGGUAGGGCCUGUGUAAAACUCCUUCGACGAGUCGACUUGUUUGGGAAUGCAGGUCAAAAUGGGUGGUAAAUUUCAUCUAAAGCUAAAUAUUGGCCAGAGACCGAUAGCGCACAAGUAGAGUGAUCGAAAGAUGAAAAGCACUUUGAAAAGAGAGUUAAACAGUAUGUGAAAUUGUUGAAAGGGAAGCGCUGGCAACCAGACUCGAGCACGGUGUUCCCCCUAGCUUCUGCCAGGGUUACUUCACCGUGUCCGGGCCAUCAUCAGUUUUGGGGGCCGGUCAAAGGCCCCGGGAAUGUAUCCAAUCCUUCGGGGUUGGACUUAUAGCCCGGGGUGUCAUGCGGCCUCCCGGGACUGAGGAACGCGCUUCGGCGAGGAUGAUGGCGUAAUGGUUGUCAGCGACCCGUCUUGAAACACGGACCAAGGAGUCUAACAUCUAUGCGAGUGUUCGGGUGUCAAACCCUUGCGCGGAAUGAAAGUGAACGGAGGUAGGAAGGCCUGAGCCUGCACUAUCGACCGAUCCUGAUGUCUUCGGAUGGAUUUGAGUAAGAGCAUAGCUGUUGGGACCCGAAAGAUGGUGAACUAUGCGUGAAUAGGGUGAAGCCAGAGGAAACUCUGGUGGAGGCUCGCAGCGGUUCUGACGUGCAAAUCGAUCGUCAAAUUUGCGUAUAGGGGCGAAAGACUAAUCGAACCAUCUGGUAGCUGGUUCCUGC